CCCUUAGAUGUUCUGGGCUGCACGCGCGCUACACUGUCGGAUUCAGCGAGUCAUAUCCUUAACCGAAAGGUUUGGGUAAUCUUUUGAAAGUCCGACGUGAUGGGGAUUGAUCAUUGCAAUUAUUGAUCAUGAACGAGGAAUUCCUAGUAAGCGCGAGUCAUCAGCUCGCGUUGAUUACGUCCCUGCCCUUUGUACACACCGCCCGUCGCUACUACCGAUUGAAUGGUUUAGUGAGAUCUUCGGAUUGGCGCCUACGCGGCUUCUCUGAGGCCACGCUGGAUGCCGAAAAGUUGCUCAAACUGUAUCAUUUAGAGGAAGUAAAAGUCGUAGCA
rnacentral:rRNA from 1 species